AUUGAACGCUGGCGGCAGGCUUAACACAUGCACGUCGAGCGAGCGGCGGACGGGUGAGUAAUGUCUGGGCAACUGCCUGAUGGCGGGGGAUAACUACUGGAAACAGUAGCUAAUACCGCAUCCCAUCAGAUGUGCCCAGAUGGGUUUAGCUAGUAGGUGGGGUAAGGGCUCACAUAGGCGACUAUCCCUAGCUGGUCUGAGAGGAUGACCAGCCACACUGGAACUGAGACACGGUCCAGACUCCUACGGGAGGCAGCAGUUGGGAAUAUUGCACAAUGGGCGCAAGCCUGAUGCAGCCAUGCCGCGUGUGUGAAGAAGGCCUUCGGGUUGUAAAGCACUUUCAGCGGGGAGGCGUUACUCGCAGAAGAAGCACCGGCUAACUCCGUGCCAGCCGCCGCGGUAAUAC
rnacentral:rRNA from 1 species